CGCAUCUGUGCAUGCAGCAUAUCAAUAAGCGGAGGAAAAGAAACUAACAAGGAUUCCCUUAGUAACGGCGAGUGAAGCGGGAAGAGCUCAAAUUUGAAAUCUUAAAGGGUUUCCCUUUACGAAUUGUAGUUUAAAGAAGUGUUUUCUGUUGAGGUUUUGGUAAAAGUUCUUUGGAAUAGGACAUCAUAGAGGGUGAGAAUCCCGUAUUUGACCUUUACUUUCAACUUUGUGAUACACUUUCAAAGAGUCGGAUUGUUUGGGAAUGCAGUCCAAAAUGGGUGGUAAAUUUCAUCUAAAGCUAAAUAUUGGCGAGAGACCGAUAGCGAACAAGUACCGUGAGGGAAAGAUGAAAAGAACUUUGAAAAGAGAGUUAAACAGUACGUGAAAUUGUCAAAAGGGAAGCGUUUGACACCAGUGUUGUUUUUCUGAAAAUCAAUUAAAGAACUGUUUAUGCUAAGCUGUUUAGACUUUAUCAGCUAACUGUUUAGUUUUGAGCUUUUCUUUAAUGCACUUUUCAGUUAACAAGUCAACAUCAAUUUCUUUUGCUGUAAAAAAGCUUGAGGAAGGUGGCUUGAGAUUCGUCUUAAGUGUUUAUAGCCUCUUGCCUAUGCAGUCGGAGAGAUUGAGGUCUGCAGCGUAGAUCCUUCGGGGCUAAAUGCAUUUGUGCUAAGUUAUAGCAUUUUAUAGACAACUUGUUGACUAUGAUUUGUCUUGUAGCUUACUCGCUUAUGUUAUUUUACCUACGCUUAGGAUGUUGAGUCAUCACACAUCUCU
rnacentral:rRNA from 1 species